rnacentral:rRNA from 1 species
GACGAACGCUGGCGGCGUGCUUAACACAUGCAAGUCGAACGGAAAGGCCCUUCGGGGUACUCGAGUGGCGAACGGGUGAGUAACACGUGGGUGAUCUGCCCUGCACUUUGGGAUAAGCCUGGGAAACUGGGUCUAAUACCGGAUAGGACCACGGCAUUCAUGUGCUGUGGUGGAAAGCUUUUGCGGUGUGGGAUGGGCUCGCGGCCUAUCAGCUUGUUGGUGGGGUAAUGGCCUACCAAGGCGACGACGGGUAGCCGGCCUGAGAGGGUGACCGGCCACACUGGGACUGAGAUACGGCCCAGACUCCUACGGGAGGCAGCAGUGGGGAAUAUUGCACAAUGGGCGCAAGCCUGAUGCAGCGACGCCGCGUGAGGGAUGACGGCCUUCGGGGUGUAAACCUCUUUCGCCAGGGACGAAGCGCAAGUGACGGUACCUGGAGAAGAAGGACCGGCCAACUACGUG